GAUGAACGCUGGCGGCGUGCUUAACACAUGCAAGUCGAGCGGGUAUAGCAAUAUAUCAGCGGCGGACGGGUGAGUAACGCGUGAGCAAUCCGCCUCUAUCAGAGGGAUAACACUUAGAAAUAGGUGCUAAUACCGCAUAAGACCACAGUGCCGCAUGGCACAGGGGUAAAAGGUCAGCCGGAUAGAGAUGAGCUCGCGUCCCAUUAGCUAGUUGGUAGGGUAACGGCCUACCAAGGCGACGAUGGGUAGCCGACCUGAGAGGGUGAUCGGCCACAUUGGAACUGAGAAACGGUCCAA
rnacentral:rRNA from 1 species